UAAAAAUGCUUUAGAAACAGUGAUAUUUACUGUAGCCAGAAACACUGUGCUACUGCUGAAGAGGCAAAAAGGUUAUGCAGAGGGAAAAACAAGGAGGAGGAGACUCAAAGAUGUAAUGUUUGCUGUGUGUCUGCAGGAGGAUUAGAGGCUAAUUCUUCUGGAAUUCCUCUGGACCUUGUUCCUCCCAGAUUUGAUAUUGGAUCCCAGUGCUUCCAGGUAGCUAAGCAUCAAUGUUAUUGCUGCCUGCCACUGUCAUCUCUCUUCUUCCAAGUCACAAGUAGGAGGAUUGCAUGUCACAAAGUGAGGCAAAUGGAAAUAUGCAUAAAGACACAGGGGGAACUGGACAUUCAUGGAUGAGGUGAAUUGAAAAUUAUGUCUAGUCCUCUGAUGAGUGCAUAACUGCCAUGGCUGAAAGUUGGUGAUGGUCCUGCUUUGAGUGGGAGACUGGACAAAAUGACAUUUGGGAAUCCCUUCCAACCAGCACUGCUCCGAUCUAAGUGUCCAUGACACUCAAUCUGGUAUGUUCUGCUUACAUUUACAAUAAAGUACAACUCCCCUAAAAUGGCAGAUUUUACUUGCACAUAGCUUGGAAGUUCUGUUGGAUUUGGUGCUCUCUUACUACUUUCUUCUUGCCAAAAGCAUCUCAGGACAAUUCAUAUCCAAAAGGGUCAGUCAGCUGGGCAUACUCCUCAGCCUGAGUUUCACUAUUGCUUCUUUGGGAGGAAAAAAAAAAAAAAAAGGCUACAAUCUCAUACCCAUGUCUGUAAAUGCUGUCAGGUGACAGUGAAGAACAGACAUUUUUUGGUACUCCAGCUACAGCUCUGAUUUCUUCUGCCAGAAACACAGUGGUGGUAACAUUUGAUUUGCAAAUCUGGCAUACAGGCAUCAGCCCAGUUGAAAACAAUCAACAGAAGCCAUUUCCUCAGUGCAAGUAAAUAUAUUGACAUGUGUUGACAAUAAACUGAUUUUGUGCACUUUUGGAAAGGCAGACAGCAUCUCACAUGUUUUAACUGCUUAGCUCCUCUAAAAGACUAUGCAGAAAAAUAUCUUUCAUAGGCUAUAGAAGGCAGCUCAUCUUUCAUAUCUCUCGAGUCAUCAUGAUGUCCUCUAAUUACAAGAAUAUGAUUUUUACAGAAUAUUCAUGCUGUAUUGAGCGUGACAAUAAUACAUUCAAAAAGUAUGUAUAAAGCAUAUGCUUUAGGAUAUGCGAUGGAGUGAGAGUUGUUAAAUAAUAAUUUUUAUCCUGUUACUUCCAUUUAAAAUACAUUGAAGUAUUAGUUAUGGUUUGGAAACCAUUUGCCAUCUUUGUUCUAAGGCAUUCAUUUGUUGUCAAAUGAUUAAACUGUGUAAAUAUCCUUCCACAAUUGUCAACAAUCAGGAUAUGAGACUUUGUAAUAACUAAGGCUAGUACUUCUCAUCACCAGAUCUUACAUAGCUGUGUGAUGAAGGUAAAUGUUUCUGCUUUACAAGAAAGGAGAUUGUCUGUCCACCUGAAUGGCCAGCUCAGUGAAAGCUUGUCUUGUCGUCCUGAGGAAUCAAAGAAUGAAGUACUGACUUGUCUGACAGAUUUAGGAAGCAGACCCUGAGAGAGUAGUUUGUGCUUCGUGGGUUUUCUGGCACAGAGCAGAACAAGAAAAGGCUGUUGGAUCCUGCCCAGGUCUCUGCUGGAGCUGCACAGGCCACAUGGCUCUGCCAGGGGAAGCAGAGGCUGCAGACCCUUCCACCGGCAAUCACCUGUCAGCAUGAGGUGAUGCCAGCACAUCUAUAUUAAAUAGAAAUUGGAACAAAUCCCUAAAUAGCUCUGCCUCUUUGUAGGGUCAUUGUGCCUGUGUGCCUUUGGGUUCCCAAGUGCUUAGCUGGAGGGAGCGUAGCAAUGAUUUUUGUGUGAAACUUCCAUUGUUUAUCGACAAAGUCUAUUUUUGAAACCAGCUGAAGCCUGGGAGAAACUUUGCUAGAAAGAGUCUUGCUGCGGGGAAACAACCUCCCAUGACAAUGGGGAGAAGUCCUGGACCUGAGCCUCAGGCUUCAAACAGACCCAAAUCUGACACCUCUCAGGCUCUGUGGACGUGGAUAUGUAGGGAACUAAUGAGAAGAAAUCUAAUGUUGUAACCAAAGUGCUCACCUCUGAUUUGGGGCAGUGUUUGAAGAUGAGGGAAGCAGACUAAGCAUAUACACGCAUGUUAUCUGAGACAAGGAGUCCCUCUGCAGACAGAGAGCAUUUCUCAAUCCAUAGUGAUUGUAGGCUCUUUCCUGACAAGCAGAUUUUCCAGUACCUCCCAGCUUCUCACUCCAGCUCUCAUCAGGGUUCACAGCUUUGUCUCUGCCAGGGACUCUUUUCGAUGGCAGUGUGACAGUUCCUUCCCUCUCCUCUGCUCCAAAGAGUAGAAAAACCAGUCAGUGCAGUAAAACAGGGUGGUUUUAUCCACUUUCACCUUGCUAGACUAAUGUCUUAAAAUCCAGCUUAGAACAUGAACAUUAUAACCCCGUGGUGAAAUUCCUACUUGCAAAAAGAUGCGGUCAGUGCCGGGACGGUUGCUUGCUGCAGUUGUCACUGUGUGGCAAGGAGCAAGCGCGCAGUGCUGCUGCGCUUGGGUGCACUCGCAGGGACAAAGACCUGGUGUCAGCCUCCGCCUUGAAGUCAGGGACGCGUCGGUUCAUCCCUCGGGGAAAUGUGCGUAAAUAAAAGCAGAAACUUCAACGAAAGCUGGUUGUAAGGAGACCGCUAUAAUGCAGUUUAUGGCAACAUUGCACACGAGGAUAGAAGCAACACCUAUGGAAGAUUUCGACCUCAUCUCCUAAACUGCUGCUGACAUAAGCAGCCAAAUCUGCACCCAUUUGAAUUGUAUUUAUGCCAUUAGUUACUCAUAUUGCCUGGAGAUAUCAAGAUAUCAGUGCAAUAGACACUGUGCAACCAGGCUGUUAACUCACAGCAAAGAUUUACUAAUUAAUGAUGUGCUAGCGCACCUAUUUAGCAUUACUAUGCUAAUACUUAUUACUGUGUAAGUUGUGUUCAACUUUAAGCACCGGCUUAAGCUGUUUCAUGUCAAGGACACUGCUAAUACUAUGCUGAAUUUCCACAUAAAAUUGUAGAAGCAAUUCUGCAUUGCUUUCUCAGAGUACUGCCUUUGCACAUGCUACUGCCCUUUGGAGACUGAGAGGCAUUUUCUGUAACAUUAGGAUAUAAAAAUAAAAUAAAAUUGUACUCAUAUCAUUUUUCAACUGUAUUUUACAAAUUAGUUAAAAUAGAUACACAACUUGAGCUGAAAAUGUCAUCUUUCCUCCUUUUCAGGAGUCAUUUCUGUCAAAAUUUGCAGGGCUUUAUGCUUAUAUUUUUGUACAAGAGUAAAACUGAAGCAGUAAAUAGCUCAGUUUUCAGAAAAGCGGUUUCAGGUAAACAUUUUGACUGUAGUUAAAAAAA